UAUGGUUAAAGUUUGCAAGUUUUCCAAAAGCUGCAACUCGUUCAAAACACAGGGAUCUUCAGGGAAACCGGAAACAAAUAAUCUCAACACUUUCAAACUUGUUAAACCUGAUAUGCCACAGAUACUCUCUACCAUCCUUGUGUACUCCAAAUUCAGAUCCCUGUUCAUUGAUAGAUCAAGAACAACUAGCAUUGGCAUCAACCGAAAGAAGCUGCUUGAGAUAUGCCCCAAGAAGUUCUUUCGGAGGAGCAAAGUUAUAAGUUGGGGAGAUUCAGGAGCAUCACGUAUACUUUCAAUGUUGUUAAACAUCAAUGACACCCUUCUCGCAACUUUCCACUUCUCGAUCUCAG